rnacentral:rRNA from 1 species
GUGGAUUAGAUACCCUGGUAGUCCACGCCGUAAACGAUGUCGACUUGGAGGUUGUGCCCUUGAGGCGUGGCUUCCGGAGCUAACGCGUUAAGUCGACCGCCUGGGGAGUACGGCCGCAAGGUUAAAACUCAAAUGAAUUGACGGGGGCCCGCACAAGCGGUGGAGCAUGUGGUUUAAUUCGAUGCAACGCGAAGAACCUUACCUGGUCUUGACAUCCACAGAACUUUCCAGAGAUGGAUUGGUGCCUUCGGGAACUGUGAGACAGGUGCUGCACGGCUGUCGUCAGCU